GACGAACGCUGGCGGCGUGCUUAACACAUGCAAGUCGAACGGAAAGGCCCUGCUUUUGUGGGGUGCUCGAGUGGCGAACGGGUGAGUAACACGUGAGUAACCUGCCCUUGACUUUGGGAUAACUUCAGGAAACUGGGGCUAAUACCGGAUAGGAGCUCCUGCUGCAUGGUGGGGGUUGGAAAGUUUCGGCGGUUGGGGAUGGACUCGCGGCUUAUCAGCUUGUUGGUGGGGUAGUGGCUUACCAAGGCUUUGACGGGUAGCCGGCCUGAGAGGGUGACCGGCCACAUUGGGAAUGAGGUACGGCCCAGACUCCUACGGGAGGCAGCAGGGGGGAAUAUUGCACCAUGGGCGGAAGGCUGAUGCAGCAACGCCGCGUGCGGGAAGACGGCCUUCGGGUUGGAAACCGCUUUCGCCUGUGACGAAGCGUGAGUGACGGUAAUGGGUAAAGAAGCACCGGCUAACUACGUG
rnacentral:rRNA from 1 species